CCAAUAUUAUGAAGCUGCAGACUCGGAGCCUGCAGCUACAGACCCCCGCCCAGAGAGCCGCAUUCUCAGACCCCUCGUUUUUCGAGACGGCGAUCAAAUUGGAUCGGAUAAACAUUUGAAGAAACAUGGAUAUAACAAUUCAAACGGGGGACUCACUUCCAGAAAUUCCAAAAUGUCACAAAUGCUGCAGUGAUUUUGACUACCAUCAAAGUGGUUCCCCCUAAAGCCAUGUGUGCCUGUCUACAUGGACAGCCAUUAUUCAUGGCCUAUGUGAAAUGCAGGCAUUAUCCUGGCAGGAAGCUGAGCAGGUGUUCCUCAGUGGCCCUUCUUAUCACUCUAGGUAUGCUUGUAAUUUGUAUUUGCAAAAAAUAGUAUUUUUAUUACACAACAUUUUUGACAAUGGCCUUCAUGUUUUAUUUUUUAAGUCGAGGAAUUUGACAGAGCAGUUUCCAAAAG